CUGCAGGGGCGUAAAACUGCAUGCUCCAGGUCUGCAGACUCCCCCUUCUCAACUUUACCUUCGCGGCCAUUUUGAUUCACCUCAUCUCGAAAAGUUGUUAUUCGGAGAAGAAAAGUGUGCAGAAUAACAGCUAAUAUUAAUGGAUCAUUCUAUUCAAGUGUAAGUCAACUGGAACGUGGAUGUUUUCAUAACAGGCUUAAAGAUGAACAAAUUGAUAAAGAAACCCUCCUGCUGAACAUCCACUUCCAAAAGUGCCACACUGUUGUCUACAACUCCCAGGAAAAGAAUCCUCUUUAGUAAGACUGCUACAUGGAUAUGUCAGGUUAAGCAGUGCUGAAACCGAAAGAACUAACGCUCUUUAAAAUGUUUUGUGAGUUUAUAUGCAGAGGAAAGUUACGGUGUCCCUUUUUCACAUCCAUAACGCUUGUUUAUUUCUUUUUUUAUAGAAAACUUGUGCAUAGACUGAUAUUUUAUCAUAUAAAUGCGGUUCUAUCAACAAGGGUUUAGUAAAAUACUUUUUAUAGUGUUUUUAUGUCGCAUCCAUAACGCUGGAAUUGCCCUAAAGCAUUUUACUCGUGCCACUUUGUUAACUGUAUAUGAAUUUUUGAAGUGUUAAGUUGUCUAACUAUUUAUAUUUACUUGUGCCACUUUAAUAACCUUGUUAAAUGUAUAUGUUAAAAUCUAAACUAAUGUAAUUUAUUGAAGAAAAUUUUCCUUAAAUAUGUAUAAACAUACAUUUCAUCAAAGUGUUUUAUAUGCCAUUUUAUUGUUCAUUGAGCAUAACAUAUUGCAUGUUUUUAUGAAUUCCUUUUGUCUUGCAUUCUGAUCCUUAAUAAAACUUUUGAUUCUUA